CCGACUCGUGCCGCCGGGACCUGGACGCGGCGCGCAAGGGCGAGGCGAGCGACGAUGAGGCGCUGCUGCCCUGCUAGGUAGGGGCGGGCUGCGCGAGGAGGCGAGCUCCUGGAGAGGGCUGCGGGGCGCCUGACGCCUGCCCACGCCCACGCCCAGCCCGGCAGCCUCACGCCCCUCACGCACCCUGGAACUCUGUCUCCAGUUGAUAGCAGCUGGAGCCGGCCCUCGCGGAAACAAGGCUGCUUCACGCCUUGGUCAUUUUUACCCACUUACGUUAAAAAGUUUGUACAAAAGUACUUUCUCAUUGAACCUUUUAUGCUUUUGCCAGCACAUCUUGUAACAAUACACUAGAUGCUAAGAUUGUUAACGUACGAAAGAAAAACCUUUACACUCGCCUUUUUAUUUGUAUGAUAUUUGUCUUUUAUUGGAUUCAUAUUACCUUGUCAAAGGGGAAAAAAAACUUCCUCACGUUUUCUCUUAUGUUUGACAUAAAGUGAUGUGAAUUUAGGUAGAGUUAGAUGGAUUAACGGCAAAAAUAAAACUUUUAUAGAUUUUCUAAUAUUGACUUUAAUACUCUAAUAUGGUAUAAACCAAAUGGUAAAAUCCCAAGUCAUUUCUGUUUUCAUCUCUAUUUAGGGACAGUUAAGCAGAUGAAGAUAUUCUACUAUGCAUUAAACCUUGAACUUUAUAAAAUAUGUACAGAAAUUGUACAUGGAACACCGAGCGCUGUGCCCUGGGCACACAUGUCCAUACAUCCGCAGACGCUGCACGUGUGUUUUCUGCACUCUUCAAGAGGGAGUACGUCCUUAGCAUUGGAGUACUUAAAGCUAAGUGUCUCUUUAACUUGUACCUUCAUGUCAGAGUUCUAUCCUGAAUUUAGGGCUUCACUGGGAGUUUUUCCAGGUGACCAGUUUUCCCAAAGCUACUUACUAAAUAGUACAUCCUUUCUUCAUUAGUUUGAGAUUGAACCUUUAUGUAGUACAUUCCCGCAUUAUUUGGGUAUGUUUCUAGACUAAUUCUCCUUCUUUCUGCCUCCUUUUGUGCCAGUAUGACAUUGAUUUAGUGACUCAUUUUAAAAUAUGUCUUAAGUAUUUGUGCAUAUUUUAACAUCUGAGCUUUAGAAUCAACCUGAGACCCACAAACUUUUUGUUUUGGACAUUUUUAAUUUUGUUGAUAAACUUAGGGAAACUUUACAUCAUUAUCAUAUGAAAGCCUUUUCUCUAAAUCUUGGUGCCCUCUAUAAACAGUGCCUAUUCAUUUAGGGGGGUUUUGUUGUUAUUUCCUUCAGGUGUAGUUUACAGAAAUGUCAUACAUCUUUAAAGUUUAAUCUUAACAAAUUCCACCCUUUUAUCGCUAUGAUUAGUGAAGUCCUUUCCAUGUAUUAUUUAGUCUAAUUUAGUAUACAGAAAGGCUAAUGAUUUGUAAUGUUAGUUUUCUGCCCAGCCGUCUGAGUUGGCUUUCUUAUAGUUUGAGAUAAUGGUUUUCAGCUACAUAAUCAUGACAUCUACAAGCCUAGACAAGUGGGUUGCUUACCAAUUUGUGUCUUGUUUAAGUGCUAAUAAGUACUUUUAGAAAAAUGUUAAAUAACACUGGCUAUGAUGAGCUGGGUUGAGAUAAACAGGUUUAAUCAUAUUGAGGAGCAUCCAUUGAUCCCUAUUUUAAACAAGGUUUCUAAGAAUGCAUGUCAAGUUUUAUCACAUUCCUUUUCACCAUCCGUGGGGAUAUUUCAGUGAUUUUUUUUCCUUUGAUUCUGGUAUGGCAAAUUUUAUAAAUAUGUUUUGUAAUUUUAAACCAUCCUCAUCCUUGCAUUCCUUAAAUAAACUCGUUUGAACGUGUGUUUUUUAAUAUAUUACCAGAUUGUUUCCUGUUUUGUUUGAGAUGCUUGGCAUUUACCUGGCCAGUGAAACCAGCCCCUCUGUAUGUGUGCAUGCGUACACGUUAUCGCAGAAGAUUUCUAUUAGUCUUAUGCUGGUGGGUUUGGAAUCUUUCCUCCGAUUUCUAUGCUCUGCAACAGUAUAAAUAGCAUUGGAAUUUUCUCUUCCUUAAAAUUUUGGUGAAAUUAUUGACCUGGCUCAUACUUGGGAAAUUGUUUUUGACAAUUUUUUUGUAGUUUAUGGCACUUGGUCUGCGUAGUUUUUAUGUCUUGUCUGGGAUGAGGAGCCACCCAUUUCAUCUAAAUUUUCAAACUGAUUUGCCUCCGGCUGAGCAGAGUUACCUCUUCCUCUUCUGUGAGUAUGGCUUGUUCACAUUUGCCAUGUACUGUCUGUGCCCUCAUUUCUUGACUGUGAUGACUGACAGCCAGGCUGGGUGCCACAAACCUGUAACUUUGGCCACUUGGGAGGCUGAGGCAGGAGGAUUGCAUACACUCACAAGUUGAUCAGCCUGUACAACAAGAGGAGACGCUGUCAGAAAAAAGGAAAAAGUUAACAGUUGGCCUGAGGUGUGUGAGUUGUGUGUGGUUUCCCAAAGGGUCAUGCCUUGUCUGUAUUCUGUAAUUAUUUUUGCUUUUAUUUUCCUCUAACUUCCAGGCUCAGUAAUCAAUUCAUUUAUUUCUUAAUUAGCAAUGUGAGACUGAAGACAUGGGCUGAGUUCUGAGCACCCUUAACCAACUCACUUGGUGCACUGGGGCUGUCAUUGCUGGCAUCUUCAGGUGUCCUUGGGUUGUGGGCCUGGGUCAGCCAGGGCCUCCCGCACCCUAGGCGAGACCUCUACCCUGAGCUAGCUCCACCCCACCCGCAGGCCUCACUUCUGAGUUCCUCUGUAACCCAAGGGCUUUUGAAUGGGAGUUUUUCCAUCUUUGCUUUUCCCCAAAUAGGGUUUUUUGAUGUAGCUAGUAAUUUUGUUUUCCUAUUCUUUUAUUAAUUUUCGUUUUGGGGUUUUUUUUUUGUACCAGGGAUCAAACUCAGGACCUUGUGCUUGUGAGGCAGGCGCCAGAACCACUAAGCUUAAUCCCCAGCCCUAAUUUUCAUUUUUGACAUCAAAACAAUAUGUGUAUAAUACUUAUCUUU
rnacentral:lncRNA from 1 species